rnacentral:lncRNA from 1 species
UCUCUCUCUCUCUCUCUCUCUCCACAACUCCAAAUCUUCUCUUCACUCUCUCAUCUCUCCCUUCCCUUUCUUUUCUUUUUCUGUUCACUCAUUCUCCAGCCCUCCUGAUCUUCUCCUCAUCUUUUCUUCUCGUUUAUCUCCAACGGUGGCUUGUUUUGCAGGGGAUAUGUGAUAUUGAGUAAUGAAGGUGGGGAUUCUAAUUGAAGUUGUGGUAAUUCAACGCUCAAUGUACAAAUUUCUUCUUCUUCUUCUCUUUGUAUUUUUCUCAUUUAUAUUUUAGUUUGUCCUUAAUUCUUUUUUAUAUUAUCAUUUUUGUAAUGAAUUUUCGGGACAUUUGAGCUGGUGAAGAGGUGUCUUUUUUAGCCUUUAAUUUCUUCUGGGGACAUUUGAGAGCGCUUCAUAAAGCCAUUGU